CUCGACAAGAUCCAAAUAAAAUCCAGUCUUUAACAAUAUUCCAAAUUUUCUAUUGCCUCUACUUCCACAUUCUUGCCGUCGCCAGCAUCGAUGUAUCUUUCACCAUCACUUGAUUUUCGGCAACUCAGACAACCCUGCAUAGACAUAUUGAUGUGAGUUGUUGCACCAGAAUCUAUUCACCAUGUAUGUCUAGGUACCAAAGUUAAAUUAACCUCACAAAGCAAAUGAAGAAGAAUAUAUUUCUUUACACGUCAUACGUGGUAAUUGGUACAAUUCUUCUUCUUAUGACCUGCAGCCCCACAAAAAAAACAACCACCUUCAGUUGGUUCCUUAUGCUGUUUCUUUUGCUAUGCUGUAUCCGCAACUUCCUUAUUAAUUUUCAUUUUCUUGUUCCUUUGUCCUUAGAGGUGAUGGCUAAAUGAACACUUUCUGUCUUCUCAUGCUUCAAUCUUUCCUCUUCCUGGACACAGUGUGAGAUGAGCUCAUUAAGGGACCAUGAGUCAUUUUAACAGUUAUAGUUCACCUUGAAUUGACUGAAAUGUGCCCAAAGGAAAAUCAGAACCAAGUGCACCAACAAGUCUUCAGAUAAAUCCAAUUUGAGUGCCUUUAGUUUUAAAGCAAUGUGAGACAUUUUCAUAAUGUACUCCUGAAUAUUUCAUUUCCCUUUAUACCUCAUUGAGACAAGGUUUGCCAAAAGUGUACUUGUUUCAACCUUUUUAUUCUUGGCAAACCUCUUCUCAAGAUCCUCAAGGAAACCCUUAGCCGUAGUUACCUUAACGGACAUAGCCCUGAAAUACCUCUGGAAUAGCACACUUCAUGACCAUUAAGCUUAUGCGGUUCGAUUGUUCCCAUUUUUCCAUCUCCCUCUUGUCAUCAAAGGUACUCUUAUCAGUGAGUGCAGCUGGUUGGUCGACCCGUAAAGCAAGGUUCAGGUUCAUGACUCCGAGAACAAUCAUCACGUUCUCUUGCCAUGCCCUAAAAUUUGUGCCAUUUAACAUUGAAAUUGAAUUGAUGCUACCAGAGAUAUUAG
rnacentral:lncRNA from 1 species